rnacentral:rRNA from 1 species
CCUACGGGAGGCAGCAGUGGGGAAUAUUGGGCAAUGGGCGCAAGCCUGACCCAGCAACGCCGCGUGAAGGAAGAAGGCUUUCGGGUUGUAAACUUCUUUUCUCAGGGACGAAGCAAGUGACGGUACCUGAGGAAUAAGCCACGGCUAACUACGUGCCAGCAGCCGCGGUCAUACGUAGGUGGCAAGCGUUAUCCGGAUUUACUGGGUGUAAAGGGCGUGUAGGCGGGAAAGCAAGUCAGUUGUGAAAACCAUGGGAUCAAACUGUGGCCUGCUUUUGAAACUGUUUUUCUUGAGUACUGGAGAGGCAGACGGAAUGCCUAGUGUAGCGGUGAAAUGCGUAGAUAUUAGGAGGAACACCAGUGGCGAAGGCGGUCUGCUGGACAGCAACUGACGCUGAGGCGCGAAAGCGUGGGGAGCAAACAGGAUUAGAUACCCGAGUAGUC